AUUGAACGCUGGCGGCAGGCCUAACACAUGCAAGUCAAACGGUAACAGGAAGAAGCUUGCUUCUUUGCUGACGAGUGGCGGACGGGUGAGUAAUGUCUGGGAAACUUCCUGAUGGAGGGGGAUAACUACUGGAAACGGUAGCUAAUACCGCAUAACGUCGCAAGACCAAAGAGGGGGACCUUCGGGCCUCUUGCCAUCGGAUGUGCCCAGAUGGGAUUAGCUAGUAGGUGGGGUAACGGCUCACCUAGGCGACGAUCCCUAGCUGGUCUGAGAGGAUGACCAGCCACACUGGAACUGAGACACGGUCCAGACUCCUACGGGAGGCAGCAGUGGGGAAUAUUGCACAAAGGGCGCAAGCCUGAUGCAGCCAUGCCGCGUGUAUGAAGAAGGCCUUCGGGUUGUAAAGUACUUUCAGCGGGGAGGAAGGGAGUAAAGUUAAUACCUUUGCUCAUUGACGUUACCCGCAGAAGAAGCACCGGCUAACUCCGUG
rnacentral:rRNA from 1 species